rnacentral:rRNA from 4 species
CUAGCGCGGUGGUCCCACCUGACCCCAUGCCGAACUCAGAAGUGAAACGCCGUAGCGCCGAUGGUAGUGUGGGGUCUCCCCAUGCGAGAGUAGGGAACUGCCAGAC